rnacentral:rRNA from 1 species
GGCUGCCGCUAUUGGGGUCCGAUUAAGCCAUGCAAGUCUUAAGGACCUUGUGUCCUUGGCAGACUGCUCAGUAACACGUGGACAACUUGCCCUAUCGCGGGGGAUAAUCUCGGGAAACUGAGGAUAAUACCCCAUAGGUCUCAGGUACUGGAAUGUUCUGAGACUCAAAGCUCCGGCACGAUAGGAUAGGUCUGCGGCCGAUUAGCCUGUAGGCGGUGUAAUGGACCACCUAAGCAAUAAUCGGUAAGGGUCGUGGGAGCGAUUGCCCUGAGACGGAAUCUGAGACACUAUUCCGAGCCUUACGGGGUGCAGCAGGCGCGAAACCUUUACAAUGCACGAAAGUGUGAUAAGGGGACUCCAAGUGUCCAUAUACCAUAUGGACUUUUUCGAAGUUUAAAACGCUUUGGGAAUAAGGGGUGGGCAAGACUAGUGCCAGCCGCCGCGGUAAAACUAGCAUCCCAAGUGGCAGUCACCAUUACUGGGCUUAAAGCGUCCGUAGCUUGUUUUGAAAGUCUCUGGUGAAAUCCUGCGGCUUAACCGUAGGGCUUGCCGGAGAAACUACAAGACUUGAGGACAGGAGAGGUCGGGGGUACUUCUGGGGUAGGGGUGAAAUCCUAUAAUCCUAGAAGGACCAACAGUGGCGAAGGCGCCCGACAUGAAUGUGCCUGACAGUGAGGGACGAGAGCCAGGGUCGCGAAACGGAUUAGAUACCCGUGUAGUCCUGGCCGUAAACGAUGUUGACUAGGUGGGACGCGUCCUUAGUGGUCGUGUUAUGCCGAAGGGAAACCGUUAAGUCAACCGCCUGGGGAGUACGUCCGCAAGGAUGAAACUUAAAGGAAUUGGCGGGGGAGCACUACAAGGGGUGGAAGCUGCGGUUUAAUUAGAUUCAACGCUGGACAUCUCACCGGAGGCGACAGCAGUAUGAAGGUCAGGCUGAUGGUCUUACCGGACACGCUGAGAGGAGGUGCAUGGCCGUCGUCAGCUCGUGCCGUAAGGUGUUAGGUUAAGUCCUAAAACGAGCGAGACCCACACUCUUAUUUGCAACCGGUUCUUCCGAGGGCUGGGCACAAUAAGAGGACUGCCCGCUAUAAGUGGGAGGAAGGAGUGGACAACGAUAGGUCCGCAUGCCCCAAAUCUUCCGGGCUACACGCGUCUUACAAUGACUGGUACAAUGAGUCAACCCCGAAAGGGGGAGCCAAUCUCGAAAGCCAGCCUCGGUUCGGAUCGAGGGUUGAAACUCAUCCUCGUGAAGCUGGAAUCCCUAGUAAUCGCUGCUCAUUAUACAGCGAUGAAUACGUCCCUGCUCCUUGCACACACUGUCCGUCACUCCAACCAAGCUAGGUCCAGGCAAGGAUAUGUCCCUUGAUAUGUUCAAGUCCGGGUUUAGUGAGGCGGGGGAAGUCGUAGCAAGGUA